GAGUGCUCAGUGGAGAGCGGGGAGUUGUGUCCACCUUGCCGACGUCGCUAGCCGUGGGGCUGUCCUGGGAAGGCGGACGGCGAGCGCCCGGUGUCCGCACUCGGCCGCCUGCCGUGCCCGUCUGCGCCCGUGUCAUCCUCACUCGGGACGCAGGGACCGUUUUUAAAUCACAGGGGCGUGUGUCAGCCUGCCCUAGGACUUCAUGUCUAUAUAUUUCCCCAUUCACUGCCCCGACUAUCUGAGAUCGGCCAAGAUGACUGAGGUGAUGAUGAACACCCAGCCCAUGGAGGAGAUCGGCCUCAGCCCCCGCAAGGAUGGCCUUUCCUACCAGAUGGAGUCUCGCUCUGUCGCCCAGACUGGAGUCCAGUGGCGUGAUCUCGGCUCACCACAAGCUCCGCCUCCCGGGUUCACACCAUUUUCUGCCUCAGUCUCCGGAGUAGCUGGGAAUACAGGCGCCCACCACCAUGCCCGCCUAAUUUUUUUUGUAUUUUUAG
rnacentral:lncRNA from 1 species